AGAGCAUCUAAAUGGUGGAAUACACUUUAUUGAUGUCUUAGAUCUCGCACCCAUGGCCCAUCUGAUUACCUCUCCUACCCCUUCGCACCUGUCAAUUUUUUUUCCCUUACUCUGUGCAUGUAAGUGGAUUAAUAGAAGCCAUGGAGCAUAUGCGAAGAGUCCAUUCAUUGCAAGUUGCAUGAGGUAAUGAGGGAUCGGAUUAGGUGCGGCACCGGCCUCAUCCAAGCCCUUAUGGUGGAGCCCACCAUAAUGUAUGAAUUUUAUAUGUACGCCGUCCAUCCGUUUUUUUCCAGAUCAUUUAAUUUUAAGGCAUGAGCCCAAAAAUGAAGCAGAUCCAAAUCUCAAGUGGACCAUAUUAUAAGAAACAGUGGUGAUUAGAGUUCUUCCAUCGGAUCAAUGCUACAUAAAAAUGAAAAAGAAGAUACGACGGUCAAUAUGAAUAAUUCUUUAGGCAAAAGUUUAAUUCGGAUAACAUGUCUCUAGGGAAGAUUUUUGGAUGAAAUGGCAAUAACCAUCCAUCCCAUUAGUGCUUGAGAAUCGGACAGUUGUAUUAAGAAAGGCAAGCGUUUGGAAAGUCAGUAUUCUCCAAUCAGCAUGAGUUUUCAUGGUGGGCCUGAUAAGUGGUGGAACCUAACGGACGGUCUAAAUCUAUGAUUUAACCAUCCAGUUGUCUAAAAGCAGCAUGGCAUACUAAGAGAACCAUUGUCCUCUAAUGCACACUGGAGCAUUUCUCUUAUUUCCCUUUUGGGGUCGUUCAGAUGUAGGUAAAUCUCAGUUAUGUAUCAUUUACACACAGGCCUUUGGAUGUGAUGAGAGAGAUGAAAAAGAUUAAAAGAAAGAAAAGAAGAAAGAAAUUGAUUCCACUUGGAGGGGCAAGUAACACUUUCACCUUCUGUCUUCUUCUUUUUUCCUGGUCGGACCCACAAGACUUACAACAUGCAUGACGGAGAAUUUGCAACCAAUCAGAAAAGCAGGAGAACACUUCCGCUUUGGUCAUGAGCCAUGGGUCCUACCAUGUAUAGAAUCUUCCAAUCAUUGCGCUACCACUCUCCUCCUUGCACCCUCUAAAUAGAUUGAGAGAUAGGCACGAACCAACCGAAAGCUAGCCCAUCAGCAACCCCAUUCAAAUAGUGGGCCCUUCUAAGUAACCCUCUAUAAAUGAAAGUUCACCCUUAGAGAGGACUUGUGCACUAAAAUCAACCCCUUCUAUCAGUUUUCACCUUAGCCUUCCUCUGUCGAAUGGCACCCCAAGCAGACCUUGCCAAGGUAGGGAAAGAUGCGUUUGAUCUACUUGAAGGGUAUCUAGCUCAGAAAAGAAGGCCUCCUCAAGCUCAACCUUAUGCUCAAGUCCAACCGCUUGCUCAAAUGGUGGCCCAGAUUCCUCCAAGAAACAACAUCAUAGACGGAAUACCGGCCAUUGAGAUACAGACUUACGUAAUUUCGAUGCGGAGGAGCGUUGUAUGUAGAUAUCAGAAGCUGCACUAAGGUGCUGACUUCUGCAUGGUACCAUUGUAGUUCAAUGUAGUCUCUCUCCUUCGGGGAUAGUCGUUUGCUUGUAGUAAGUUAUGUAAGCAUAUGUGGAUGAUAAUAUUAUUAUUUUCCUUUUUAUGAAAGGUUUCUAGUAGUA